rnacentral:rRNA from 1 species
ACCAGACUCCUACGGGAGGCAGCAGUGGGGGAUAUUGCACAAUGGGGGAAACCCUGAUGCAGCGACGCCGCGCGAGUGAAGAAGUAUUUCGGUAUGUAAAGCUCUAUCAGCAGGGAAGAAAAAAGACGGUACCUGACUAAGAAGCCCCGGCUAACUACGUGCCAGCAGCCGCGGUAAUACGUAGGGGGCAAGCGUUAUCCGGAUUUACUGGGUGUAAAGGGAGCGUAGACGGCAAUACAAGUCGGAAGUGAAAUACCCGGGCUCAACCUGGGAACUGCUUUGGAAACUGUAUGGCUGGAGUGCUGGAGAGGUAAGCGGAAUUCCCAGUGUAGCGGUGAAAUGCGUAGAUAUUAGGAGGAACACCAGUGGCGAAGGCGGCUUACUGGACAGUAACUGACGUUGAGGCUCGAAAGCGUGGGGAGCAAACAGGAUUAGAUACCCGUGUAC